AACGGGGGGAGCAAGCGUUGUCCGGAAUUACUGGGCGUAAAGAGCUCGUAGGCGGGGUUUUAAGUCCGGAAGUAAAUCCGCCGGCUCAACUGGCGAAUCAUUCUGGAUACUGGGACUCUUGAGGACAGGAGAGGAAAGCGGAAUUCCUAGUGUAGCGGUGAAAUGCGUAGAUAUUAGGAGGAACACCAGUGGCGAAGGCGGCUUUCUGGCCUGGUCCUGACGCUGAGGAGCGAAAGCCAGGGGAGCGAACGGG
rnacentral:rRNA from 1 species